rnacentral:hammerhead_ribozyme from 1 species
AUCCAGCUGACGAGUCCUAAAUAAAACGAGACGCGCAUCUUGGAU